UGAGAGUUUUACAUUUGUAUUGGCAGGCAGCAGGAAGAGAGUGCCACACUGGCUUGAGUAUCUGAGUCCCCAAAGCCCACCCUCAGUGACACUCUUCCUCCAAAAAGACCACACCUCCUAAAAGUACCAUUCCCUAUGAGCCUGUGGGAGCCAUUUUCUUUCAAACCGCCACAGUCAUCCUAGAUUUGUUUUCCUAAGUUCUUGUUUUUCUUAUUAUUAAAAACACAUUCUUUGAAAGGCAUCUCAGGUAGCUCAGGUUGUUCUAAACCUUGCAAUGUUGCCAAGGAUCACCUUAAGCUGUUGUUUUUUUGAGUCUUUCUGUGUAAAACUGGCUGGCCUUAAACUCACUGGUAAGUGUUCCAGACAAGCUUUGAAUUCACAGACCCACCUGCCUCUGCCUCCUGAGUGCUAGGAGUAAAAACAACACAUGAGCAAUUCUGCCUAAUCUAAGGAUGGCCUUAAAAAGAGAGCCUCCUGCCUCCCUCCAUCCUACAGCUACUGGGAAUAUGGAUAUAUACCACCAUGGUAGUUGAAGAAGAAUUUUAUAGAAGAUUUUUGUAGAGCAGAAGUAGGAAAAGAACAACAACAACAAAAUAAUUCCUCUAAAACCUUUCUUAGAUGAGUUUUGUUCUUUCUCCUGCUUUUGAAACUUUAAGUUCCCUGAAGAUACUCAUGAUUCCCUGACACACUGGCUUGCCCAGUUCCACCAUCACACAGGAACAUGCAUGUAUUAAAAGAGCCUCAGCAACACUUCUUUCCUGUCACAUUAUAAUUUAAAUGACAUGUAUAGUUUAGUCCCAUCUUAUGCAGCCUUCAGUUAUAGUUGAAGCCACAGCAUCUGUAUGGAAGGGUGAUCUUGUUAGAGACGGUAGUCCAUAUGCUGACUUGUAAUUAUUGAAAACCUUAGUGUGCCUUUAAGAUUACUCAUUUUUGUUCAAUACAAAUUGUAAUUUUCUCUUAUUAUACUUUUAAGAACAAUAAUUUUUAGCUAAAUUUCAAAGAGCUCCAUGUACCCUCUCGACUCUGUGUCUUAGGUGCUGGGAUUGCACACAUGUUACCAUGUCCAGGUUUUUUGUUUUGUUUUGUUUGUGUGUUUGUUUUGUAUUUUUGUUUUUUUAUGAACUUGAGUUAUUUAUUUAUUUUCAUUAGUUUAUUAUUCUCUCAUACAUUACAUCCUUUCCUUCUUUUUCCCUAAAGACAGGCAAAAGAGUCAGGGUCAACUGUGCUUCCACUGUUAUGAGUCCCACAAAACCAUAAAGCUACUCAACUGUAACAUAUAUGCAGAGGGCCUAGGCCAGACCCAUGCAGGCUCCCCAAUUGUCUCUUCAGUCUCUGAGAGCUCCUAUGAGCCCUGCUUAAUUGGUUCUGUGGGUUCUCUUGUGGUGUCCUUGAUUCCUCUGCCUCUGUUCUUCCCUCUUCUGCAGGAUCCCCAAGUUCAUCUUAUGUUAGGUCACCAUGACCAGGUUUUUGACAUGGGUGGUAAGACAUCUGCUUGGCCCAACUUUGGGAUAUGCUAUCAGUGACAUUUGUCAUGAAAGUUCCUUAUCUCUUGGGAGCAUCUCUCCUGUAUGCAGUUCCAGAAUCAGUUUGGAGAAAUGGGGAAGUGAAGGAACAAUGGCCUGACAACAUGUUAUCACUGUGUUAAUUGUGACAGAGUAUCAAAUCAGGUAUUUCUAUUCCCAAUGAAAGCAGAGAUUAUUACAUUUGAAAGCCACCCAUUAGAUGCUUGUUGGUGGCAUGUUUGACAUUUCAUUUUGUGACUUUAAAAAUGUAUUUUGAGACAGAAUGUUUGCGUCUAUAAGAUUCUUAGGUCCUUGGUUUGUUGUUAGUCUGUUGUGGUCCAAAUUUUUUGUGGUUGUGAGUUUUCUUUGCAAAUGGAAUUCCUUACUCCAGUGAGCUGUACACUGUCUUUAAAGUGGUAAGCUUCGAAUAGCUUAUUUGUUGUACCCCUUUCUGGUUGUGUUACUUUGGUCUGGCCCAAUUGCAGGAAAGAAACUUGCUGUGAGGGAAAGUUCUAGAAGUGUACUGGCCUCUGCUCUGCAGCUGUCCAGUUUUAGGACCUCACUAUUGCGCUCCUGACCUGUGUUCUGGUAUUGAGACCCUGUCACUUCCUCCAGCACAUGGGGGAUGUAACUACCUGAUAAUCUAAUAUUAUAGAGUUCCUCUCUAGAAUAACUUUGUCCUGAAAACUGACAUCAGUGCUGGUCCAGUCCGUUGUAGCAUGAGUGGUAGGACAGAGUUAUUCAAAGUUAAGGAGCUUAAAACAUAACAGCAGAAAUCAUGAUACCAGGCAGCAUUAUGUCAGUAAGUGUUUAUAGAGGUGUUCAACCCACAGACACUGCCAUAGCCAAAACAAAAUAGUAAAUCCAUCUUCAAUGUUUAAAAAAAGUGAUUUUUUUCAUUGUUACUCAGUUACACAGUUCCUAAAUGUGAACCUUGUACUUGAUAAUAUUGUGUAUCAAUGUCAAAGUUAGAAACAUCUGAUAGCCUCUCUGGGUGUACUAUUUAGAUCCAUAUAGUUUCUUACAGUGUUAGUUGUUUACAUAGUAUUACAUCUCUGUUGAGAUUCAUAGACAUAUUUAAGAAUUAUGAGAUUUAAGGAAAACAGACUAUCUCAGUAUGGCAGUGCACGCCUGUGAUCUUGGCAUACUAGAGACUGACUGACCCUGGAGAGUUACUGGGAGAGGAUGGCUUGUCCAGGCUAUAAGGUGAGUUCAAAACCAGCCUGUGAUACAUGAAACCAUGUUGUUGUUUUAAGAAAGGGAAAACCUGAAUGUGGUGCACAUGCAUUUAAUCCCAGCACUUGGGAAGCAGAGGCAGGAAGAUCUCUGUGAGUUUGAGGUCAGCCAAACCUAUAAAGGACAUUGCUCUUGGGGAGAGAGGGGAGUUAGAGAGAGAUAGAGUGACAAAGACAAAAAGACAGAGACAGGGAGAUGGAGUCAGAGAGACAGAGAUAGAAAGACACACCAACAGUUAUUCAUUCAAUGAGUCAGAUAGACAGAAGAAAGAAAGAAAGAAAGAAAG
rnacentral:lncRNA from 1 species